rnacentral:rRNA from 1 species
CAAUAGCGUAUAUUUAAGUUGUUGCAGUUAAAAAGCUCGUAGUUGGAUUCCGGGUGGGACGCAGCGGUCUCGCAUUGCGUUUGUACUGCUGCAGCCCUCCUUCUUGCCGGGGGCGGCCUCUCGGACUUCACUGUCUGGGGGUCAGAAUCGGCGAUGUUACUUUGAGUAAAUUAGAGUGUUCAAAGCAAGCUUACGCUCUGAAUAUAAUAGCAUGGGAUAACACGACAGGACUCUGGCCUAUCGUGUUGGUCUAUAGGACCAGAGUAAUGAUUAAGAGGGACAGUCGGGGGCAUUCGUAUUCCGUUGUCAGAGGUGAAAUUCUUGGAUUUACGGAAGACGAACAUCUGCGAAAGCAUUUGCCAAGGAUGUUUUCAUUGA